CACCUGCCCUGCCCAGAUGUCUAUUGCUGCCUCUGUGACUCUAAACACUUUCCAGUUUGAGUGGCACCUUUUCUACUAGUCUGGAAGUUUAUUGGCCUUUGUGUCCCCAGUACCUACCACUUCUCCUGACACAGAGAAUGUGCUCAAACGUGUUUGCUGAAUGAACUAGAAAGUCUAAAUUAUUUCAGCUCUGCAUUAGCAAGAGUCAAUGCCACAGGGAACUAGCUGAUCAAACACUCACAGACUUUCAGACCUGCACGGGGCUUGUGGCAGCCAGCCCUCCAGAUGACCUCCAAUGAUCCCCUCCUCCUGGAAUUCAUACCUUCUUCAGUCCCUUCCCACAAUGUGUCAGGGUUGGUCUGCGUAACCAAUAGAACGAGAUGGAUGUAACAAUGUGUGACUUCCACGCCACUUCUGCCUUGCUCUGCCUUGAGUCACUCGUUCUGAAGGAAGCCAGACGCCAUGUUAUAAGGACACUCAAGCUGGCCUAUAGAGAGGUCCAUGGGAGGAGGAACUGAGGCUAGCUGCCCACAGCCAGCAUCAGCUUGCCCACCAUGGGAGGGAGCCUCCUGGCGAGCAGACCCUUCAGGCCUAGGUCAAGCCCUCAGGUGUGGCAGCCCCACCCACUGUCUUCUUGACUGCAGCCUCAAGAAAGAUGCUGAACCAGAACUACGAGCUAAGCUGCUCCCAGAGGAUCUGCCAGAUAGUUCUCAUCCUCGUCAGAGUCCCCUGCUUCUCUGCGUCCCUCUGGGUUAGAUGGAAAUCCACAGGUCACCAGACAAAAAGGGGCACCUGGUGCUUUUUGAUGAGCAAGAACAGAAGUUUCGAGGCCUCCGGGAAUUUUUGAAAACCUUUGGUGAAACGAAUCAGAAGAUCUGGAAGCUGUAUCUUUAAAAGGUUCCCUCUGUGGCUGCUGCCAGAUUUUGGCCUCAGGCUUGAGUCCUGAGCUCCCCCAGGGCUUGAGAAAGGGACAAGAGGAAACUGGUGCUGGGCCCUUCCCGAGGUUCGAGGUUGGAGAGCCACCGUAGGGAAGAGAGGGCCCCUCUCACUCCACCUCCUGGCCCGGGGCCUCGGCCUCUCCCUAGGAGAGUUUGGUGAUACCUCGGUGGUUCCUGACAGGAAAUCCCCUUCUGCCUCAUGGAAAACCCAGACAAGGAAGCAGAGCAGCCCCCAUGGACUGUUCAGGCUCCACCCAGCGUUGUAGAAGUAAAAAAAGGUCCAUCAUCUCAGGCCGGGGUCUGGAAGCCCCUGGGCUCUGACCACACUUACAAGGACACUGCAGCCUGUGAGGAGACACACACAGAACACCAGGCCUCUUACGGUGGCAUCGGCACCAUAGCUUACCAGGUCCACAGUGGUUUUGACUCUUACAUCAACUUGAUGAAGUCUGCAGAGGAACAGGUAUCGCUCCCUCCGUUUGGCAAAUGAGAAAACCACAGCCAAGAGGCUCUGCCGGAGAUCUAACUCAAGCCCCAGAGUGCAGCUGAGUCCCAGUGACAGAGUCGGACACUCACGCCAAGCACACCCUGAGCCGGGCCACCUCCCAACCCAUCCCACCCCCUCCCUGUUGGGGUGAACGGGUCCUGCCUGGGGGCAGCAGGUCGUGCGUGGAGGCCUGAAGGAUGCCGAGUGAUGACUCGAGCAGCCGUCUUCUGCUGUGGGGCCUUCCUAGGCCUUCCAAGAGACCAGUUUGUGCUGACCAAGGCUGUGAGAGCCAUCAGACCCCUGGGCAGUGGGGACAACCCAUGCCAUGUUCUGCACUGCAGACUCCCACACGAGCCUGCACGUCCAUCCCCUUUCUCGACACUCCUUUGUAAGUCAUUGUUUGACAUUCUUACCCACUCAUAUUCCUUUCCUAUGACUGCUGUAACAAAUCACCACAAACUUGGUUUGAAACAAUAGACAUUUAUCCUCUCACAGUUCUUGAGGCCAGAAGUCUGGACCGAAGGUGUUGGUAGGGUUGGUUCCUGCCGGAUGCUCUGAGGGAGAAGCUUGUCCAUGCCUCUCUAGCCUCCAGUGGCAGUCAGCAAUCCUUGGCUUGUAGGAGCAUCACUCUAGUCUCUGCCUCCAUUUCACGUGGCCUCCCCUGCUCUGUCUCACGGUCUGUUUCCCAGAGAAACAUUCAUACGUUGUUAGAUUUCAACAAAUGAAUUUUGAGGGGACACAAAUGUGAAGUCCAUCACGCUCAUUAUUUCCAAUAAGACAAGGAUCUUUAGACUCAUCUUUGAAAAUGAUUCUCAAGUUAGAGAACCAUGGAGAGAACAUCAGUGUCCAUCCAGCUGAGCCCCCACGGUAUAGAUGAAUCUCCUCUACAAGCCCCUCUCAAAUGAUUUCCUAGUGUCCACCUAAACACCUCCAUCCACCAUGUCCGGAGGCAGCCAUAGAGUCCUUGGGUCGCCCUACCAUGGAGGAACAUUGUCCUGCUGAGUUACAGUCCAGAACCUGCAGCUCCCAUUCUCAGGCCCAGUUUUAGCCCUGGGGCCGUGUAGAGCAAGUCCACAUCUCUUCUCCAUGGGACAGCUCUUCAGAUAUUUAGCAACCACUGUUCUGGUCUUCCCAGCUCCAGGGUGAACACCGCCCCCAGCCCACCGUUGCAAACACGGUGGGGUCUUCCUGGUCAUCCUUCUCUGAACAGGUCCUAGUUUGUCUCUACCCCUUCAUUUAGAAGUGGGGUGCCCAGAAAUGCAAACAAUGGCCGUCUGCAUGCUGUUCAUCCUGUAACACAGAAUCCAGUGCUGGGAUAACAGCGGGAAGCAAGACAGACAGGGUCCAGCUGUCCUGAAGCUCCUGUUCCAGCUAAGGGGGUGGGGGAUGGAGAGAAACAAAUAAGGAACAUAUCAGAGAGUGAGAGAGGCUCUUCUGAGAGCUGCAGCAGGGGUCUACCAUAAAGCAUGACCAGUGGUCAGGUAGCCUCUUUGCGGGACUGGUGUUUAUGCCCAGGUCCGAAUGACAAGAACAGCUAAAGCAAAGUCCCUAAUGCACCACAGACCCCCUCCUUCACCCCCCUUUCCCUAAGGCCCCACCACCCUCCGAUCCUCCCGCCCCACGCUGGCUCCUAUCUCUCUCCAAAUCACAGGCAUUCCCCAAGCAGGGCCAGCGCCAGAAGGGUGGGCCCUGGGGCAGCUCAGCCACUCUGGGGGCCGCCGAAGGUAAUCACACUGAAAUUCCAGGAUUGAAUUCAAUGACAUGGAGAAGAGAAAAGAGGAUUAGGUGUAGUUCAAGCCGCCCAGCCCUCUCCCCACCAGUGUGGGGUCCAGGCUAUUGGGUGCCCUUCUCAAAGGUCUGCUUCUGAGCAGAAGGAACCAGGAUCCAAAAGACAGGUAGAAAGGGUGCCUGGAAUGGGGGUGCCCUGCAGCCUGGUCUUCAGCGAACCCCAACCUCUCCACUGAGCCCACAAAACCCACUACCCAGGUGGUCUUCAAAGAUACCUGGAUGCUAUCAGACUCAGCUGA
rnacentral:lncRNA from 1 species